AAUGAGGAAGACAUUGUUGUUGCGCCAAAGUCUCCACAAUCUGUAGGAAAUGUACCUUUACCUUCAAGAAAAGAGGAUGCACUUCAAAAAACUGCAGAGAGCGGCAUCCAUACCCCAGACACACAAUCCCUCGAGAGUGACUCUAAAUCUUCAUCUUCAAAUGCAAAUGCUAAGAGGAAUGAAUCAGAUGAAUCAGCUAAGGUCAACACAGACAGUAGCAGUUCAGGAGAAAGAUUUUUCACAUCUGGUUUGCCACAGCAGAAAACUUUCUUUUUCAUAAAUGAGAAUGAAUGGAAGGAGUUACGGCAACAUCAGUCAGGAAGACUAUUUAAAGGACUGCAGUGGACAAAUAUAAUUGCUAGUGGAAUCAGAACCCUUAAUCCGUAC